rnacentral:rRNA from 1 species
AAAGGGAAGUACCAAAAAUACUGCAAGUCGAACGAGCUUCCGUUGAAUGACGUGCUUGCACUGAUUUCAACAAUGAAGCGAGUGGCGAACUGGUGAGUAACACGUGGGAAAUCUGCCCAGAAGCAGGGGAUAACACUUGGAAACAGGUGCUAAUACCGUAUAACAACAAAAUCCGCAUGGAUUUUGUUUGAAAGGUGGCUUCGGCUAUCACUUCUGGAUGAUCCCGCGGCGUAUUAGUUAGUUGGUGAGGUAAAGGCCCACCAAGACGAUGAUACGUAGCCGACCUGAGAGGGUAAUCGGCCACAUUGGGACUGAGACACGGCCCAAACUCCUACGGGAGGCAGCAGUAGGGAAUCUUCCACAAUGGACGAAAGUCUGAUGGAGCAAUGCCGCGUGAGUGAAGAAGGGUUUCGGCUCGUAAAACUCUGUUGUUAAAGAAGAACACCUUUGAGAGUAACUGUUCAAGGGUUGACGGUAUUUAACCAGAAAGCCACGGCUAACUACGUGCCAGCAGCCGCGGUAAUACGUAGGUGGCAAGCGUUGUCCGGAUUUAUUGGGCGUAAAGCGAGCGCAGGCGGUUUUUUAAGUCUGAUGUGAAAGCCUUCGGCUUAACCGGAGAAGUGCAUCGGAAACUGGGAGACUUGAGUGCAGAAGAGGACAGUGGAACUCCAUGUGUAGCGGUGGAAUGCGUAGAUAUAUGGAAGAACACCAGUGGCGAAGGCGGCUGUCUAGUCUGUAACUGACGCUGAGGCUCGAAAGCAUGGGUAGCGAACAGGAUUAGAUACCCUGGUAGUCCAUGCCGUAAACGAUGAGUGCUAAGUGUUGGAGGG